UACGGGGGGGGCAAGCGUUGUUCGGAAUUACUGGGCGUAAAGGGUUCGUAGGUGGCCCGCUAAGUCAGACGUGAAAUCCCUCAGCUCAACUGGGGAACUGCGUCUGAUACUGGUGGGCUUGAGUGCAGGAGAGGAACGCGGAAUUCCAGGUGUAGCGGUGAAAUGCGUAGAUAUCGGGAGGAACACCUGUGGCGAAAGCGGCUCACUGGACCACAACUGACGCUGAGGCGCGAAAGCUAGGGGAGCAAACAGG
rnacentral:rRNA from 1 species